CCUGUGUUCUUCCAAGUGGUGAGUGAAGCUUAUGACAAACUAGUACUCCUAGGAACUGUACUGUGAUUACCCGCUAAACCUUGAGACAGCCUAGGAAUCCUAUGUGCUGGUCAUAAUGAGCAUCUCAGAAUUCCAAAGCAUAAAUCCUCUAUUCCCUUUCAGAACUUGUAGCUGUACAUGCAGCUCCCUGUCCCUGAUAUCCCCACUGUCCCCUACUUGCCUGACAUGGCCUUCAUAUUCAUCCUUCAUAGUCUACCUCUUCUGUGAAGCACAUGAAGAAUUAGUAGCCUCUGUCUUUGCUCUUCUGGGCAGUACAGCAAUAGCCAAGAGCAUAAGUUCUUGAAUUAGCCUGCCUGAGUUCAAACUUCAACUGUACCAUUUAAUGAAUGACCUUGGCCACUGUACCAUGGCAGUACGAAGAGAAGUGCCAGGGAUACUCCAAGUCUCAAGUUAAACAGGAGAAUCUUCCUGGAGUAUUAAUUACACCCAACAAGUGUCCUCUGAGCAAUUCAGCAUGGUCCAUGGCUGAGAACACUUUGCUGAACAUUUGGCAUAUUCCUUAAUCAGCAUCCCACAGACAGGACAGAGGUGCCUGAAGAAUGUAAGGCACAAUCCACGAUAUCCAGAAUCAAUAAAAGCCAUGACGUAAGCCUACAGAAUUUUA